GCUGGGAUAGCUCAGUCAGCAGAGCACGAGACUCUGAAUUUCAGAGCCGUAGGUUCGAGCCCCAGAUUGGGCA